GCUUACUUGAUAUUAUUCUCGUGAGAAUUAGGUUAUGAGAGAUCGUUUUCAGCUAAAAAAUGAUCUCUUUUUUUUUAAGAA
rnacentral:sRNA from 1 species